UGGGGAAUAUUGGACAAUGGGCGCAAGCCUGAUCCAGCCAUGCCGCGUGAGUGAUGAAGGGCCCUAGGGUUGUAAAGCUCUUUCGCCAGGGGACGAUAAUGACGGUACCUGGAUAAGAAGCCCCGGCUAACUUCGUGCCAGCAGCCGCGGUAAUACGAAGGGGGCUAGCGUUGUUCGGAAUCACUGGGCGUAAAGCGCACGUAGGCGGAUCUUUAAGUCAGGGGUGAAAUCCCGAGGCUCAACUCGGAACUGCCUUUGAUACUGGAGGUCUCGAGUCCGGGAGAGGUGAGUGGAACUGCGAGUGUAGAGGUGAAAUUCGUAGAUAUUCGCAAGGACACCAGUGGCGAAGGCGGCUCACUGGCCCGGUACUGACGCUGAGGUGCGAAACGCGUGGGGAGCAAAACAGGAUUAGAUACCCUGGUAGUCCACGCCGUAAACUAUGGAUGCUAGCCGUUGGGCAGCUUGCUGUUCAGUGGCGCAGCUAACGCUUUAAGCAU
rnacentral:rRNA from 1 species